GAUGAAGAACGUAGCGAAAUGCGAUAAGUAAUGUGAAUUGCAGAAUUCAGUGAAUCAUCGAAUCUUUGAACGCACAUUGCGCCCCCUGGUAUUCCGGGGGGCAUGCCUGUCCGAGCGUCAUUACAACCCUCGAGCUCAGCUUGGUAUUGGGCCCCGCCGACCCGGCGGGCCCUAAAGUCAGUGGUGGUGCCGUCCGGCUCCGAGCGUAGUAAUUCUUCUCGCUCUGGAGGUCCGGUCGUGUGCUCGCCAGCAACCCCCAAUUUUUUUCAGGUUGACCUCGGAUCAGGUAGGGAUACCCGCUGAACUUAAGCAUAUCAAUAAGCGGAGGA
rnacentral:misc_RNA from 1 species